UGUUGACAUGAAUAUCAAUUAUAUGGUCAUUUUUAUAAAUUUUCUGUUUACAAAACUUUUGAAUUUUUCGAAAAACUAAGGAUUUUCUUACCGCAGGAGUAGAUAACCUUAGCCGUAUUUGGCACAACUUUGUGGGAAUUUUGGGUCCUCAAUGCUCUUCAACUUUGUAUUUGUUUGGCUUUUUAACUAUUUUGAUCUGAGCGUCACUGAUGAGUCUUGUAGACGAAACGCGCGUCUGGCGUAUAAAAUUAUAAUCCUGGUACUUUUGAUAACGAUU
rnacentral:lncRNA from 1 species